UCGAAGGUAGCAUAAUCAGUAGUUUUUUAAUUGAAAACUUGUAUGAAUGGUUUAACGAAAUAUUUACUGUUUCAUAAAAAUUUAUAUAGAAUUUAAUUUUUUAGUUAAAAAGCUAAAAUAAAAUUAAAAGACGAGAAGACCCUAUAGAGUUUUAUAUAUUAAUUUUUAUAAUUUAUUUAAAAAAUUUAUGAUUUUAUUUAUUAAUAUAUUUUGUUGGGGUGACAAUAAAAUUUUAAAAUCUUUUAUUUAUUUUUAACAAUGAUUUUUGGAUUAUUGAUCCGUUUUUAAUGAUUAUAAGAUUAAAUUACCUUAGGGAUAACAGCGUAAUUUUUUUGUAGAGUUCUUAUCGAUAAAAAAUUUUGCGACCUCGAUGUUGGAUUAA
rnacentral:rRNA from 1 species